UUUUUUUUUUUAAUUUGUAGAGAGCGGUGUGGCGAAACAAAGAUGGCGCCGACAUCCAGCCUUGUCUGGAUAUAAAUGACUUACUGCGCAUGUGCAGGCUUGUCCCCUUGCUAGGGCUCCCUCUAGUGGUGAACAGCGGUACUGCACAUGUGCGGUUUAUGCACCAGGUGUUAGUUGACCGUUAAUAUGCUAAUGAGGUGAUUCAUUCUCCGCCAAUCCCUGGAGGACAAGUAGUGGGGUGAUCCAAGCCCCACCAAUCCCUGAGAGAUAAUUAGCAUACUGUUGUCUAUAUAAGCCGAGCGAUUUUGCUGCUCAGGGUCCCUGUUCAAGAGAGCUGUAACACUAAGAGAGCUGUAACACUAAGAAGAGCUGUAACACAGUAAAGGCUUGCUCGCAGAAGAAUCCUGUUGCCACGCGUCGUUCUUGCUGGCGGGACAUUGGGCGCGCGACAUUAAUUAACUUGAACCUUCAUUGAAGGAAUGAUGAAACUCCCACAGAGAGGAACCUCUACCUUGUCAUGGAUUUCGAAGCUGACAAGAAAGGGCUCUGGUGUCUGAAACCAUAAAGAACAGUCUCCCAAAGCCUGAAUUCCUUCCACCAGUGGUCACUGUGCUUCUGGAUUUCAAAUGCACUUUCUCAAGGAUCUAAACUUUUGUGAAUGUGAAAACCAGAUUAUCUGAGUCAUCUGUGAUAGGCAGAAUAACAAGCUACCACAUAUUUCCUAAUUCAAGAUGGCCACAUCUCUGAAACCUGUGCUUAGGAAACCUUACAGGAUUUUGCGGUAAAUUGGAACUCUUACCCCAGCAUGUCCAAUGGGUAGUGUUUUCAGAUGACAUUUUUAAAGGAAAACAAGAGAGUUGGGGGUUAUUAGAACAUAGUAUAUAGUGAAAAUAUCACUAUAGCAAUCUCCAGAACUUAAGAUAAUAAAUCUGCGUUGCUUAA